AGAGUUUGAUUCUGGCUCAGGAUGAACGCUGGCGGCGUGCCUAACACAUGCAAGUCGAGCGAAACUAUUUUUCGGAAGUUUUCGGAUGGAAUUAUUAUUGACUGAGCGGCGGACGGGUGAGUAACGCGUGGGUAACCUGCCUCAUACAGGGGGAUAACAGUUAGAAAUGACUGCUAAUACCGCAUAAGCGCACAGCGUCGCAUGAUGCAGUGUGAAAAACUCCGGUGGUAUGAGAUGGACCCGCGUCUGAUUAGCUGGUUGGUGAGGUAAAGGCCCACCAAGGCGACGAUCAGUAGCCGACCUGAGAGGGUGAUCGGCCACAUUGGGACUGAGACACGGCCCAAACUCCUACGGGAGGCAGCAGUGGGGAAUAUUGCACAAUGGGGGAAACCCUGAUGCAGCAACGCCGCGUGAGUGAAGAAGUAUUUCGGUAUGUAAAGUUCUAUCAGCAGGGAAGAAAAUGACGGUACCUGACUAAGAAGCCCCGGCUAACUACGUGCCAGCAGCCGCGGUAAUACGUAGGGGGCAAGCGUUAUCCGGAUUUACUGGGUGUAAAGGGAGCGUAGACGGAGAAGCAAGUCUGAAGUGAAAGCCCGGGGCUUAACCCCGGGACUGCUUUGGAAACUGUUUGUCUAGAGUGCUGGAGAGGUAAGUGGAAUUCCUAGUGUAGCGGUGAAAUGCGUAGAUAUUAGGAGGAACACCAGUGGCGAAGGCGGCUUACUGGACAGUAACUGACGUUGAGGCUCGAAAGCGUGGGGAGCAAACAGAAUUAGAUACCCUGGUAGUCCACGCGGUAAACGAUGAAUGGCUAGGUGUUGGGAAGCAAAGAUCUUCGGUGCCGUGGCAAACCCAAUAACCAUUCCACUUGGGGAGUACGUUGGCAGGAAUGAAAUUCAAAGGAAUGGAGGGGGACCCGCCCAAGCGGUGGAGCAUGUGGUUUAAUUGGAAGCAACGGGAGGACCCUUCCCAAGUCUUGACAUCUUUUUGCCCGGCGUGUACCGGUCCUUUCUUUUGGGAGCGGGAGUGCCAGGUGGUGCAUGGUGGUGUUCAGUUGGUGUGGUGAGAUGUUGGGUUAAUUCCCGCAAGGAGCGCACCCCUUUUCCCUAGUACCCAGCAGUAAGCUGGGCACUCUAGGGAGACUGCCAGGGAUAACCUGGAGGAAGGUGGGGAUGACGUCAAAUCAUCAUGCCCCUUAUGAUUUGGGCUACACACGUGCUACAAUGGCGUAAACAAAGGGAAGCGAACCCGCGAGGGGAAGCAAAUCCCAAAAAUAACGUCCCAGUUCGGAUUGUAGUCUGCAACUCGCCUGCAUGAAGCUGGAAUCGCUAGUAAUCGCGAAUCAGAAUGUCGCGGUGAAUACGUUCCCGGGUCUUGCACUCACCGCCCGUCA
rnacentral:rRNA from 1 species